rnacentral:rRNA from 1 species
AUUGAACGCUGGCGGCAUGCUUUACACAUGCAAGUCGAACGGUAACAGGUUAAGCUGACGAGUGGCGAACGGGUGAGUAAUGCAUCGGAACGUGCCCGAUCGUGGGGGAUAACGCAGCGAAAGCUGCGCUAAUACCGCAUACGAUCUGAGGAUGAAAGCGGGGGACCGUAAGGCCUCGCGCGAUCGGAGCGGCCGAUGUCAGAUUAGGUAGUUGGUAGGGUAAAGGCCCACCAAGCCGACGAUCUGUAGCUGGUCUGAGAGGACGACCAGCCACACGGGGACUGAGACACGGCCCAGACUCCGACGGGAGGCAGCAGUGGGGAAUUUUGGACAAUGGGCGAAAGCCUGAUCCAGCCAUUCCGCGUGCAGGAUGAAGGCCCUCGGGUUGUAAACUGCUUUUGUACAGAACGAAAAGGUUUCUACUAAUACUAGGAGCUCAUGACGGUACUGUAAGAAUAAGCACCGGCUAACUACGUGCCAGCCGCCGCUGUAA